AUCAAGUAGGGUCCUCAAUCUUUGCUAACUUCUAUUUGCCUGGCAUUAUAUAUACAUGCAAGGAAAAUAAUAGGUCGCUGAAAUGUACUGAGGUUGAGGAAAUACUUGUUAAUGACAGUAUUGUUGUCAUUUGCAGGAGUCCGACAUUGCACUGCCGGCAGUUUUUGCUGAGGUUAAUGGCAAGGGGAAAUCUCGGAGCGCAUUGCAUCGCGAUGCGGCGAGCGCUGGAGUCGGG